rnacentral:rRNA from 1 species
UACGGAGGGAGCUAGCGUUGUUCGGAAUUACUGGGCGUAAAGCGCGCGUAGGCGGCUUUGUAAGUUAGAGGUGAAAGCCCGGGGCUUAACCCCGGAACUGCCUUUAAGACUGCAUCGCUUGAAUCCGGGAGAGGUGAGUGGAAUUCCGAGUGUAGAGGUGAAAUUCGUAGAUAUUAGGAAGAACACCAGUGGCGAAGGCGGCUCACUGGUCCGGUACUGACGCUGAGGUGCGAAAGCGUGGGGAGCAAACAGG